rnacentral:tRNA from 1 species
GGUUGUGGCUCAGAGGUAGAGUGCUCACCUAGCAUGCGUGAGACACUCGGUUCGAUCCUCAGCACCA